AUUGAACGCUGGCGGCAUGCUUUACACAUGCAAGUCGAACGGUAACAGGGUGCUUGCACCGCUGACGAGUGGCGAACGGGUGGGUAAUGCGUCGGAACGGGCCGAGUAGUGGGGGAUAACGAAGCGAAAGUUGUGCUAAUCCCGCAUACGUACUGAGGUGGAAAGUGGGGGACCUUCGGGCCUUCCGCGAUUCGAGCGGCCGCCGCUUGAUUAGCUAGUAGGUAAGGUAAAGGCUCACCCAGGCGACGAUCAGUAGCGGGUCUGAGAGGAUGAUCCGCCACACUGGGACUGAGACACGGCCCAGACUCCUACGGGAGGCAGCAGUGGGGAAUUUUGGACAAUGGGCGAAAGCCUGAUCCAGCCAUGCCGCGUGUCUGAAGAAGGCCUUCGGGUUGUAAAGGACUUUUGUCAGGGAGGAAAUCCCUAGCGUUAAUACCGCUGGGGGAUGACAGUACCUGAAGAAUAAGCACCGGCUAACUACGUGCCAGCAGCCGCCGCCGUAA
rnacentral:rRNA from 1 species